ensembl:lncRNA
AUGUUUUUUUGUUGGCUGGGCAGGAUUUGCGAUUGCAUAAGCGGCACCCUGAUUUUUCAAACCACGCUAAUUAAACAGCGGGGAGAAAAGAGCGAGAGGCCUUUUGCUCUCUAACCUCUGUGCUUCCACUGAAACCAACGUUAGCACAGUUCUAGGAAUGAGCAGAGAAGGAAACUGAAUUUAAAAUGAAAUGAGCCUAUUUUUGUUAUUUAUUCAAUGAGUCUUGCAUGUGAAUGGACUUUAGCAGCUUACCUUUCAGCACUCAAGCAAACUUCCAAAGAGUUCAAGAGCUGCAGGACAACAACACAACAAGGAAAAGCAUGUUAGAUUACGGUAUGUUCAUGUCAUCAUGAAAGCAAUUAUGAUAAAAAACAAAGGUUAAUGUCAUUUUGGGAGAAGUUUCAAGAAAGGGAACUGGUGAAGACAGCAGGUCUUGUUGUCGGGGAAAUAAUUUUAAUCAGAGCUACGGCAACGCAAUGAUGUGCAGCCUUGAGCUGAACUAAUUCAGUCCUGCCAUUGCUUUUAUAGUGUAAAGGGCAAACAUUUAUUACACACUGAUUACAUUUGGCAGGCAUAUGUGUCUGACACUUAAACCCUUGUAAUUUUCCACGCCGUUACAAAAACCCCUUCUUCACCGCCGAUAUUCAAUCACGGCGUGAAUGCGGUAUAUUUCCCAUGGAGCCACCAAAAAAAAAAAGAGUCACGAGGACAAGAGAAGAGGAAGGAGAGUGAGGAGGGGUGCUGAGCAGCUUUUUAGUUUAGUACUAAUUAAAUGUGGGAGGUGCUCAAAAGGUCAGGGAUCGACCAAAGAAAGAAAAAUAACACUUAAAAAAAAAAGAAAGAAAUUGGGAUGUGUCAUGGCUGACGGUGUGCACGAGGCGCUCAAGGUCUUGUAGAUUAUUACCAAGCUCACUUUCAAAAAGAGGGAACUGGGGGAGAUGGGAGAGAAAAUUAGUGGUGUGACUGAUAAACAGCAUAUCUCCAUGCUCUGUUCCCCCUUCCACCCCUCCUCUCUUUUUUUUUCCAGCUGAGAGAUAAAAUUCCAGCUUGGCAAUGGUUGCCAGCACAAUUGAUUCUGGCAAAGGGAUACGACUGCAGAGCAUGAGGGCUAAGUGUUUGAAUAGCUGCUGUCAAAAUGCUGAAGGGGAAUUUAUUUCUAGUUUAUAUGCGAGCUAUAUCAUGGAGUUACUGAGACUAAAUGGCUACAGUUUGAUGUACAGCACGCUGCCAUUUCUCUGGUGUGUAAUCAUGGCGCUGUGCUCGGGCUUAUGGGUGCCGUGCCUGGAUUCAGUGAAUGGACUGAAAGCAGGCAGUCGUUUUCUGGGACAUGACAAAUCCUUUACAUUUCCAAACACAAAAUCAUCUGCAAACCAUUGUUGUAAUUACUAUGAACUUAAUACUGAGCUACAUGUGUAAAAGCUGACAUCCCUAAAAAAGCCCGCCAACUAUUUCAUGUUAAUCUCUCUUCAACAUGGCUCUCAGCAUCAGUCAUAUCUUUCAGUAGGGGGGAAAAAAAUCUGUUGCAAGCAUAAUUUGGGGUGAAGCAAACGAUGCACGAGCAAAUCAAAACAGAUUUAGGACAGGGAAAAAUCUGUAGUCCCAUUGUGUCUGAUCCAUCCCUCACCUAAAAAUGUUUCCUGACCCGUGGGGGAUACAGAAAAUGAUUAAUAGGUACACUCCAG